GCCUUCGGGGUGUAAUGGUCAGCACACUGAGCCGGUAUUUCAGAGGUCCGCGGUUCGAUUCCCGGCGAAGGCG
rnacentral:tRNA from 1 species